rnacentral:rRNA from 1 species
UACGAAGGGGGCUAGCGUUGUUCGGAAUUACUGGGCGUAAAGGGCGCGUAGGCGGUGUGUCAAGUCAGGCGUGAAAGCCCCGGGCUCAACCUGGGAACCGCGCUGGAGACUGGCACGCUAGAGUUCGGGAGAGGAUGGUGGAAUUCCCAGUGUAGAGGUGAAAUUCGUAGAUAUUGGGAAGAACACCGAUGGCGAAGGCAGCCAUCUGGACCGACACUGACGCUGAGGCGCGAAAGCGUGGGGAGCAAACAGG